rnacentral:ncRNA from 1 species
CAACCUCAACUCAUAUGGGACUACCCCCUGAAUUUAAGCAUAUUAAUUAGGGGAGGAAAAGAAACUAACAAGGAUUUUCUUAGUAGCGGCGAGCGAAAAGAAAUCAGUUCAGCACUAAGUCACUUUGUCUAUAUGGCAAAUGUGAGAUGCAGUGUACGGAACAUCAACAUUCUAGUAUGAGAAGUUAACGAUUUAAGUCCUUCUUAAAUGAGGCCAUUUACCCAUAGAGGGUGCCAGGCCCGUAUAACGUUAAUGAUUACUAGAUGGUGUUUCCAAAGAGUCGUGUUGCUUGAUAGUGCAGCACUAAGUGGGUGGUAAACUCCAUCUAAAACUAAAUAUAACCAUGAGACCGAUAGUAAACAAGUACCGUGAGGGAAAGUUGAAAAGAACUCUGAAUAGAGAGUUAAAUAGUACGUGAAACUGCUUAGAGGUUAAGCCCGAUGAACCUGAAUAUCCGUUAUGGAAAAUUCAUCAUUAGAAUUGUAAUAUUUAAACAAUAUUAUAAUAAUAGUGUGCAUUUUUUCCAUAUAAGGACAUUGUAAUCUAUUAGCAUAAAUAUUUAUCAUAAAAUUAUGUCUGAUUGCUUAUUUGAAUUAUAUGCUUGGGCAUUUUAACAUAAAAAUAAAAGAUAUAAAUUUGAUAAAGUGCUGAUAGAUUUAUAUGAUUACAGUGCGUUAAUUUUUCGGAAUUAUAUAAUGGCAUAAUUAUCAU